rnacentral:lncRNA from 1 species
CAAGCUACUGCCCAAGGAUCUGAUCAAAGAUCAAUCAAGAUGCAAACUAAAGUGUAUUCUGAAUAAGAACAAUGAAUUGACUUGAACAAUCUAACAAGAAACUCAAUAAAUAAACAAGAUUCAAACGAAAGCUAAAACAGAUCAAAGCACAAACAGAGACACAAGCGAUUACAUGGUUCAGCCACUUCGCAGUGACCUGUCUCUAUGGGGAAGAAAUCGAUCAGCCCCGUUGAUUAUUUCAAUGGCGAUUACAAGAAAUUGUAGAACUGUUAACAUAGAAUUGAAUACCGGUUUCUCUCUCCACAAUCACUCUCUACAAUGCCUUACACCGUAUCCCAAAACCAGUGUAACCAUCAGCCGUUAUAACAGAAUUCAGCUGCAACUUGCAUUUUCAGAUCGCCCAGAAAGCUGCCACGUACUUCAACAGUCGUGACAACCUUCGCUUAAGCUGCUUACGUGCUGUCCACAUGCCUCAUUAACCUUCGCUCAAGCUACUCACGUGCUGUCCACACGCCUCACUAGCUGAACCACGAGCACGCGAAAAUGCUACGCGGUUUUGAUGCUUAUGGAUAGAGCUGAUGGUAAAAUUUGACACAACUUGAUUAUCCGAUACGAAUACGACACGAAUAAAUAAGUAUUGAUCGUCAAAUUUAGUAUGAUUAUUAAAUGAGUUUGGUCAGGGUCGACAUGAUUUUUUUUUGUGUUGGAUUAUGAUUAAAAUUCUUGACCUAUUUACUCGAUCAAUGAUCUGAAUAUAUUUUUUAUUUUAAAAUAAUUUACAGGUUCUUGACAUCAAAACUCAAAUAUUAGAAUUUAUUUUCUCUUUUAUUUUUAUUCUUUGAAAGGAUAAAUAUAAACACAAUGUUUUAUUUAUAAAAUUUUAAGUACAUUUAGAACUUCAAUAGUGUAAAUAUGUAUAUUAGUAGAGAUGUAUAUUUUAUAAUAUUAAAGUAUAAUAUUAUUCACAUAUAUAUAAUUAAAACCUCAAUAGUGUAAAUGUGUAAUAUUUUGUUAGAUAUGUAUAUUUUAUAAUAUCGAUAAAUUAUGUUUGUAUGUAUGACCGUGUACAAAUAUUUGGUGUAACUUUUGUUUAAUAUAUAUAUAUUAAGCGGUUAUUGGGUAACCCGAUUAUUUUUUCAUGUCAGGUUUGGAUCAUAAUAUUUUGACCGAUUAUUAAAUGAGUCAGGUUUAGGUCGACCUAAAAGUUUAAUACAUGAACACGAUUAUUAAAUUUGACACGACAUGAAAGUAUAUAACUUUUAGGUCGAUCCAAACUCAACCCAUUUAAUAAUCGUGUCAAAAUAUUGUGACAUAAACCCGACACGGAAAAAUAAUCGGGUUAUCCAAUAACCUGCUUAAUAUCUAUAUAUUAAACAAAAGUUACAUCAAAUAUUUACACACUGUCAUACAUACGUAUGUACAUACAUACAUAAUUUAUUGAUAUUAUAAAAUAUAUAUAUCUAACAAAAUAUUACACAUUUACACUAUUGAGGUUUUAAUUAUAUAUGUGUGAAUAAUACUAUAUAUCAAUAUUAUACAUGUCUACUAAUAUUUUACACAUUUAUACUAUUGAAGUUCUAAAUGUAUUUAAAAUUUUGUGAAUAAAAUAAUGUGCUUAUAUUUAUCUUUUCAAAGAAUAAAAAUAAAAGAGAAAAUAAUUUCUAAUAUUUGAGUUUUGAUGUCAAAAACCUGUAAAUUAUUUAAAAAUUGAAAAUAUAUUCGGGUCAUUGAUCAGGUAAAUGAGUUAAGAAAUGUAAUCCUAACCCAACACAAAAAAAAAAAAAAAAAUUCGUAUCGUAUUUAUGUCGGGUAAUCAGAUCGUGUCAAAUUUUACCAGCUCUAAUCUCGACAAUGAUGGAUUUGGAGUACAAAGUUUCGAACUCUGAGACGAUCGCCGCUUUGGGCACAAGCAAAUAAACUAAGUUGUCGAUUUCGAAUUUUAUAUCCCAAAGGCGAACAAAUUGGCAGGUGUAGCUUAUUGGGUAUCAUAUUCUUCGAAAACGAGUCUUUCAAUUCUGCUUUGGGUUCGAUGUCCAAUUAGUGUUUAUGUGAAAAAAAAAGCUCGAAGUAAUAAAUUAAGAAUGUAAUCUAAAGAUUAAAGAUUAGAAGGUCAAGCGUCCACGACAACGUAGCCAAACGUUUUAAUUAUUUAUAUUUUAAUAAAUAGUGUAGAACCUUUGCAUCUGUAUUACGUGAUUAUGUCGUAUGCAUAAAUGGUCCAUCAAUAAGUCAUCUUUCUAGAAGACAAAUUUUAUUUUUAAUUUUUUAAGUUUAAUCAUUGGUUAGUCAAUGGAUAUUUCCAUUUUACUCUUUCUACACAUGUUACUACGUUGUUCUUUUUGAAAUUGGUAAAAUACAUUAUAAAGGGCUUUAAAAAAUUGUCAAAUACUCAAUAAUGCAUCACCACGAUUAUACACGAACUACAAGAUUAUACGGGAUCAAAUACAUUAUUUAAGACAAAGCAUAAGACUCAAGCCUUAAUUACAAGAUGUUUGAUAACAAGGAUACGUAAUACAGUCAUUUCAUAUUUAUUAAAACUAAAAGAAGAAUAAACAGCUCCAUAUGUUAAAAAAUAAUGAGUUACAUGAAAAAUUUUAUACGAAUGAACCGGUCAAUCCAUCUCAUCUAUUGUAGGUGGAGAUCAUAUUCCAAUAAAAAAAAGAAAAAAAAGAUUGUUGUCACGGCCGUUAAAUUAUAUAUUAAUUUAUUGCCUUUUAUUGUCAUCAAUAAUAAUUCAAAAAUGCAAUUGGCUGGUCACCUUAACGACAUUAGUUCGAGUUUCAGUUCCAAAAUAUUUAUUUAUUUAUUUUUAUUUAGGCCUUACUUCUAAUUAGUGCAUACUUAUAACUUUCUUAGUGUGUACAAUUAUUCAUGUAUGUAAAUUUUUAGCAGACUAUAAAUUACCAUAUAUAAAUAUAUUACCGGUAGCAAUUUAAGUAAAAAUAAUAAUUCGAUCAUAACUUAAGACUUUUCUCGGAAACAUUCAUAAUUUCAAAAUUGGGUAAUUUUUAGAGACCUCCCCUAAGGUUUAGUAUAUUAACACUUAGAUAGAAUGUAUUCAUGUAAUUACAUACACCUCCCCUGCCGUUCGUUGUCGGCUAACUUGACUGUUAGUGGACCAUUAAAAUUACUAAAAUACCCUUUCUGUCAAGAUAAUAAAUUAUUAAAUAAAGCUCCGGAAACUGAUGGGUAAUACAAUUCCCUCUAGAAUCACAAAACAUCCAAAAAGACCAAAUAGAUCACAAAAUAUCAAAAAAGACCAAAUUAGCCAUCUAUCUCCUCUUUGAUGUAAACAACACAUUAAACUCAAAUUUCCCUCAAUAUCAUAGCAAAAGCUGAAGCUGCAAAGCUAGCAACAUUCACGGGUCUUUUUUAGGCUGAAAACUAGAUGAUAAACGUCAUUUUCUUGCCAAAAUGGUUGCAUUCAAGCUAAAGAGGAACCAACAUGCACCCGAUGCAUGAUUGUUUAGCUGAUAAUUAUCCAUUGAUAAAUCAAGCAAUCGAUGAAAGCCCGUAUCUCACAUAAGGACAAAGAUUAAUGAAAGAUUGACAUAUGCUUAAAUAAUGUAAAAACAACCAAUAAAUUUAACCCAGAAAUUUAUAAUUAAAUCAAUCAACACUAGAAGUACCAGAUUGGGCGCAACCAAAUUAAAACAGACCAACCUUCAUAGAACUCAGCCAAACUAAAAUAAGCUUGAGAGCUCUGAGAUGUGUCAUUUUGAGGGCAUUUGUAAGCCUUUGAAAAGAAAUUAUAGUGGUAAAACGAAGAGAAUCCGUCUUCUAUGCAAUGGCUUAAGACCAAAUCAAAUGUUUUGGCUAGCAAAUAAUUUUACAACCAAUGGAAAACCAAGAAUUUAAAAUCAGAGAGUAGAAAAUGAAAACCAAUACAUCAGCUAACACAAUUAAACCAAUACACCCAACGAGGGCAUAGAGAGAUGAUUAUGAGUGUCAAGAGACAAUUAAGCUCCAAAAUCCUCAAGGAAGUGUAAUAUAAAUGCCUUUCCGAUCCUGUAUUGGCAGUGAGGCACAGUCAACGGAGGCUAACAAGAUGGCGGUCACGGGAUCUAAUGAGAUUGAAAGUGGCUGCAAGUGCAGGUUGAAGAAAUUGUGCGUUCGUGGCUGUUGAGAUGUUAUUGAGGUCGGGCUACAAGGGGGUUGGUUGAGGGUGAUGGACAGCAACGAUGUAGAACCAUCACUGUCGGCAGAAAUUGUGGCAGUGGUAUGUGGUGUGACAAGCCGCGAGCAAGGGUUUGGAGAGCUGUGUGCAGUUGAGUUCUGGGAUGUCAGCGGUUGCGGCAUGUAUCAGAAUGGCUCAAGGGUGAUGGUAGCGGCUGCUGGGUGGCGUCGGCGGUGGCCAAAGGGGCAGCGGUGGGGUGAGGGUUGUUGUGAGACAAAAGUCAUGUACUUGGGUUAAUGUGUGUUUAUGGACGCGAUUGAUUCAAAGGCUGCCGUGAAUGGGGUUGGUCGCCGACAUGAGGAGAGAACUUCGGCACUGGGAAAGCACCACCACCAACCACCGGUGCAGCCAUGAUCGGCUGGUCAAGAUUAGGUCACAGCAGGCAAAUGGUGGUCAAAUUUUUAUUGAUCCGGUAAAAGCAUUUAUUUUCAUUUUUGAAUAUGUUUUUACACAUUUACCCUUCUAUAUUGAUGUUAUACUUAUUUUUAUACUAACCGCAGGGGAGGUAUAUGUAAUUACAUGAAUACAUUAUAUUUAAGUGUUAAUACACUAAACCUCAGGGGAGGUCCCUAAAAAUUACCCUUUCGAAAUUUCAAUUUUCUUUUUUGUAAGUUAAGCUCUUGUGCCUUGGAUAAUAUGGUCCCAAGACCAUAGAAUCAUUGUUGGGAAAAUAUGCUCUUUAAAAGCAUAUGUGUUUAUUUAAUUGUAAUAAAUAUUUUUUCUGAUUAAUAAAAAUAAUGAGGUAUUUUAUGCAAAUAUCUUAAUUGCAUUAAUAUUUUUAUUAAAGUCCAUUUAAUCAUAUUAUAUGUAUUUAUGUGAUCACCAUGUGGAUUCACAGAAGACAUAAAUACAAGUUAUCUUAUGAUUAAAUAAAUUUAGUUCGCAGUUGAUAAAUAAAGUUGGGCACUUUAUUUAGGUAUAGACUGUAAUAAAUUUAUUGAAUGAUUUGUCUUAAUUAUGUAUGAAUUUAUUGAUGUAGUACGACUACAUUGAACAGGAUCACAUAUGAGAUUUAAUUAACUUUGUAAUAACUGUCAGACUUAUUAAAUCUCAUAGGCAUUGAUUUUACUGUAAUCUUAAUCUUGAGUUAAUUAUGAUUUCAUGAUUGUAAUUGUUAUUCCAUUUGAGUUACUAAUGGGCAUGACACAUACUUGUAGUCUAGAUUACCCGGUAUCUUGGUGGGAGCAUUUAUGAGUAUUAGAGUUAUAGAUUAACAAUAUAAAAUUUGUACAACACAUCUCUUGAUGGGUUUUCGGCACUUGAUCAUAGAAUUCUCUGGCUAGAGUGUGUCAACAUAUUUAGUAUGUUGAAAAUGAUCAUUAGAGAAAACUAGUAAGCAUCAAGGAAUAAGAUGUUAUUAAAUUGAUUGGACAGUUGAGAUAUCAAUUUAAUUAACGAUGUGGUACAAAAGAUUGUGCAGUAAAGAAAUCAAUGUGGCUUGGGACGAAUUAUUAUUCGAGCAUACAAUUAUGGAAGUCAGUUUCAAUCUUUUAGUGGAGUAGAUUUGGAAUUAAAUAAUUGAGCUAGUUUAAUUAUAGGCCUAAUUAUUGUAGCCACUAUUGUAUGUUCCCAAAUGAUCCCCGGGUUAGCUCAUUUAAUUGACUGCACCACUACUAGACUAAUAAGUAAGAUAACUAGCUAUUUGGGUCAAAAGCCUAAAUAUAUCAUUUAGUAGGAGGCUCCAUUUAAUUAGCUUUUGUGUAAGGGACCUUAUGUUAUUUUACAAGGUGGGUCCUCUAUAGAAAAAGCAAAUAAAGUGAGUUUUGUUUUUUUAUUAUUUGGAGUCUAGGAUUUUCACUAAAGGGUGAUAUAAAAGGCUUAUUUUCUCUAAAGAAAAAGAUGUAGCCACUUUAUACAGAUUGGAGAAUAAGAUUUUUCUCUCUAUUGUUGAGAGAAAAAUUUUCUCGUGCUUGUUGUUUUGGUAGUGAUAAAGGCGCCCACACGUCAAGUGCAGAUCAAACCUGAGUCAUAACCUGAAAGAUUAUUGGUGACAGUUCAUGAUCUAACAAGCGUGGUGGUGACGGAUCGUGAUCCAAAAGGAGUGGUGGUGGCGGAUCGUUAUCUAGAAGCGUAAAUCACUUCAACGGAAAAAGCCAAAUCAGAUUUUCAAGGUACGAUUUCUAUAUUACAAAUUCUUAUACAUUAUAUGAGAGCGAUCUUCAAAAGGUUUUAUAAAAAAUUUAAAAACCUAAUUUUUCCCCAGCAAUCAUUACCUCUUGAGUCUUGAGUCAGUGAUUCCGUGGUACUUGCUAAGUAACUGAGUUCGUUAUAUACUCUUCCCAUUUUGCCAAUUCAGUAUAUCGGAGAUCACUUGUCAUCAAACAAGCAAGCAACCGAGUCUCUCUCUCUCUCUCUUUUCUUGCAUAUUACAAAAGGCUCCUCUGUUUUUCUUGCAUAUUACUGACUGCUUGUUAUUCAUCAUGACACGUUUACAAUACUUUACAUCUACAUAUUCUUUGUGGAUUUACAAAUUGGAGUCUCUGUAUUCCCCUUCAAUAUGUAAGAAAGUGUAUGUACUGCUAGCUCCUUGAAGGCGUGAAAUACAAUGUAUAUGGUUAUGGAGUUCUUCUUUUACAAAUCCUAAGUGGCAAAAGAUCUUCAUGCUAUUAUAUACGGCCCCAACAAGAGUUUGAACCUUUUAGCACGUGUAAAUAUAAUUUAGGUUCCCUUUUCUUCGAUCCUGAAUCAGCACUUAAUUACACAACUGGUGCCACUAUAGCUGCAUACACUGUCAUGUCACAUGUAUGAUUGAAGGAGAUAUUGAAAGUAUUUUUCAUUCUCCAAUUAACUAAGAAUGCUAAUCAACCAGUCAUCUUCAAGCUAUGCCGAGGAGAUUUCCCCGAUUGCUUUGAUAAUACAAAACAGAGAUGGUGGCAGUGAACAAAUUAAGCCGAUGCUUACUGGAACCUACCCUUGGGAGGGUCGGGGACAAUCAGACAACUUGCUUGUAUGUCUCAUCAGCGUUCUUUCUUUUAACAAUUAAUAGAGAAUAAUUGUACUGCAGAUUUUAAUUUAGCAUCUCACGAGUCAGUGUGAAGGUCAUGAUUAGCUCACUUUUACCCCCAAGGUCCUUUCGAUUUUUGAACAGGUGAGUUUGAUUAUUUCUAUGACUGCAUAGUUUCCAUUUUCCUGAGAUUCCAAUCCAUGAAGCAAGUGAUUCAACAAAGAAAAAGGCGCAAAAUUCUUAGAAACUACUGAAUAAUCAACAAAGAAAAAUUGCUUUGACUACAUCUUUCACACUACGUGGGCUGUGACCAAUUAUGGUAUGUGGGCAAGACAUAGAAAAGCUUUUCACACUACGUGGCAAAGACCAAAGAGAAUUCUCUCUCGUCCCCAAUCAGCAGCAAGCUGGCGGCCCAUGGUCGAUUUAAGCCACAUAAAUUCAAUGAAGAUUCAAACAUCUCAAUUUUAGCUGAAAAGGGGUAACAUUUCAAUUCAAGUCAAUACAUUAUGUAAGAUCAAAAGAAGCAGAUGUCUCCGAGAAAACGAAUGAGUUGUUGUAUUUAAUUCUGUUGCCACGGGCUGCAAACACAGUCAUCCAUAUGAACAUGGACCAUGUGGUCGUUACGCACUGCCUGGUUCAGGUGAUCCGCAAUACUUCAGUGUUCUUUUUCUGGUCCAGAGUUGCUCCCGUCCGCUUGACCCUUAGAUUCAGUGGACCGUGAUGGUCCCACGACCAUCAUUACCUCCUAACUCAAUGAGUCCAUCUUCGCUCGAGUCGAUUGGGUUCCAUUUAGAAUUGAGUAGUCCUAUUCACACAUUAAAUUAUUACUACACUGAAUCUUGGAUUAUAUUUUAAACACCCUUUAAAAACAAUUUAAAAUUAAUUUCUACACUAAGCAUCUUUCUACUUAUUUUCAGUUAACUCCCCUGAAAAAUCCUCAUAUAAAUCCUUUGCUUAGAGAUAAAAAUACACCACUAAAUAAUUUAAAAAUGAUAUGGCGAAUUGCCAACUAAUUCAAUUGCUUAAAUUUAUUGAUUAUUGGGUGAGAAUAAUAUAGGUGUAGAGUUUGAACUCUACUCUACUCAUAUGAAUAGGAUAGGAAAAGAAUUGAGUUAACGCCAUUAGCCAUAACUGAAAAUAUGGAAUAUGGAGUAUUCUCUCUUAACCCUCGUGCUCUUAUCUAAACACCAUGUCUUUUCUACUUUUUCUUGAGAUGAAGAAGUAAAAUUGGAAUUACUUGCCAAAGCUGUCAAAGCACGGGUAAAGCUACAGUAAAAUACUUGCGUAGGAAGCUGUUAAGCUCUAUAAAAAUAAGUCACUCGCUCCCCACUUCACUCACUUGUCAUCGAAUCAAUCAAAGAAUAGAAAAAGCAACUCCUUGAAGAAAAGUUCUUCUUCUCUCUCCCUCUCUGUCUUAUCUUGCUCUGUUUCUCCUCUGUUUUUUUCCUCCUCUUUUCAUUAAAAUUUAAGAAAACAUACCCAUUUCAAGCAAAUGGAACACGAAGCAUUUAAGCUCACCAAGAAGCAAAACCGCCUGCCGCCGGCAAGAGGCCAAGUUCUGAAGAAAAUAUUGAACGAUUGGUUCGGAUCAGCUGGAGGAAAGAGAAGGGGAAAUGGACUUGUUAGUAGGGAUGGCAAAAAUCUCCGCUGGAUGCCAACCCGUGGGGGUCCGGCUCAUUCCGGCCCGGUUCUCGCCCUCGUAACGCUUCAAAAAAUUUUGGGUCUGAUUUUGGGGAAAAACUCGAAGCCCAUAGAAUAAUUCGGAUGGUUCUGGGGCGGGGAUCAUUUUUGAGUAAUCCAUAAAUCUGAAACUCCUAGUGGUAGGCUUAGUAGCUCAAGCGCAUCGAACCCCGCUGAAAGUCCUAAUGGCUACAAUUCAAAUGUUGCCUCUUAGUCUUCAGUCUUGAAUCUUGAUUAGGCUAUCAACUUUAACUGGGGGCUGAUCGUGGCUCAAUUUUUCUUUCCCCUUUUUUCUUUUUUGACAUUUUGUUCUUUGACUUUCUUUUUUUUCCUUUGGCUUGUCAUUUCUUGUAAUUGAAGAUGAUUAUGGAAGGAUGGGGUUGAUGGUUAAAUAUAGUAUUCUGGGGGAUGGAUACCCAUGUUUAGGCCUGUGCAUUAUUACUGUGUCUUUGUUUUUGAUUUUGUCUGUAAUGGAUAUAAUUUUUAAUUUUUCAUAGAUUUUGGCAAUUAAGCAAUUACCGUUAUUACUUUUCUUUUUCUUGCUUCUGGCUCUUCAUGCUCUGUCAGAAAUAUGGUGUGUUUUUACUUUUUAGAUUUGGAUCAAAUGGUUGUGGAAUCGAACGAUCACGCGUAGCGCCGGAGUCCGGAUUUUGGUCGAUGGGGACCUUGAUGGAAAAAUCAUUAACUAUAGGAGGUUAUAAUAUAAAACUUGUUAAAUUGAGAGGCCAACAGUGGGGGUCACAAUGGAGGAUCUAUAAAACAAAGUUAUAAAAAUUAAAUACAAACACGAGGUUCCAAAUGCAAAAUGUACAUAAAAUUUGGUAAAGUUUCUUCAAUUCAGUUCUCGGAUUUUGGUACAUUUUCAAUGUUUGUGAUUUUGAUAAAGAUCAUGACUUAUUUAUCCUUAUUAAAUUAUUAUUUUUUCAAUAGAAUCCUUAUUAAAUUUUUAAUUUAUGAUCAAUGGUGAUUAAUUUUGUCUCCCUUUUUAUGGGAUUGUGGUAACUUGGAUGACUAAAAGAAACAAAACAAUCCAAGCUACUGCCCAAGGAUGUUAUCAAAGAUCAAUCAAGAUGCAAACUAGAGUGUAUCUGAAUAAGAACAACGAAUUGACUUGAACAAUCUAACAAGAAACUCAAUAAAUAAGCAAGAUUCCAACGAAAGCUAAAACAGAUGAAAGCACAAACAGAGACACAAGCGAUUACAUGGUUCAGCCACUUCUCAGUGACGUAUAUCUAUGGGGAAGAAAUCGAUCAGCCUCUUUGAUUAUUUCGAUGAAGAUUACAAGAAAUUGUAGAACUGUUUACAUAGAAUUGAAUACCAGUUUCUCUCUCCGCGAUCACUCUCCACAAUGCCUUACACCGUAUCCCAAAACCAGUGUAACUAUCAGCCUUUAGUAACAGAACUCAGCUGCAACUUGCAUUUUCAGAUUGCCUAGAAAGCUGCCACGUACUUCAACAGUUAUGACAACCCUUGCUUAAGCCGUCCACCUGCCUCACUUAAUGAACCACCAGAACGCGAAAAUGCUACGCGGUUUUGAUGCUUAUGGAAUCAAUUAGAAGGUCACAUGAGAAGCACAUGACUAACUUAAAACAUCAAUCAGGCUGAUACGUUGUCGCCUCACCAUUCCGGUUUUGAUUCGCGUCGAUCUCGACAAUAAUGGACUUGGAAUACAAAGUUUCAAACUUUGAGACGAUCGCCACUUUGUGCUUUU